UGGGGAAUUUUGGACAAUGGGGGAAACCCUGAUCCAGCCAUGCCGCGUGUGCGAAGAAGGCCUUCGGGUUGUAAAGCACUUUUGUCAGGAACGAAAAGGUAUGCACUAAUACUGUGUGCCGAUGACGGUACCUGAAGAAUAAGCACCGGCUAACUACGUGCCAGCAGCCGCGGUAAUACGUAGGGUGCAAGCGUUAAUCGGAAUUACUGGGCGUAAAGCGUGCGCAGGUGGUUGUAUAAGACAGAUGUGAAAUCCCCGGGCUCAACCUGGGAACUGCAUUUGUGACUGUACGGCUAGAGUGUGUCAGAGGGAGGUGGAAUUCCACGUGUAGCAGUGAAAUGCGUAGAUAUGUGGAGGAACACCAAUGGCGAAGGCAGCCUCCUGGGAUAACACUGACGCUCAUGCACGAAAGCGUGGGGAGCAAACAGG
rnacentral:rRNA from 1 species